GAGGCACAGGCAGCUGCACGUCAACGCCCGCUAGAGAACGACAUCCACACCGAGCCGCUGCUCGACGAAGACGACGUGAUACCCUCUGUAAUCGAAAUGUUAGUUAAAGACAUAUGUUACAACAUACAAAUAAACAAGUUUUCUGUUAGACAUUGAUACUCACUGAUAGUAACGAUAGCGUAGUAGUAUCUGAAGUUCUCUGUGAGAUACGCUCGAGUUCAACAACAGAUACGAGCAUAGAGUUUCCCUAUCACAAGUUAAGACAUUAGGAUGCUCAAAACUAGACAUAUCCCAUUGAAUUGAAAUCUCUAAUUUUAGUAAAGAAAUAGUUACCACUCUAUCAAGGAUUGGAGCAGCCUCAAUUUG
rnacentral:lncRNA from 1 species